AUCAGGGCAGGAGUCCGAAAUUGCCCAUCCAUGGCACUCUUUUUCAUGUCACGCCAGUUGCACAAAAAACACAACCAUUGAUAGACUAUUUCCUCGCAGCAAUUCGGCACAUUUUAUUUUAAUCGACGGCGGAUAUCCUGCUUGACGGCGCAAAUGUUUGAUUUAUCUGUUGCGGACGGACGGACUCCUUGACCUUGGGAGAGUUUAGUGACCAUGGUACAGUGUGCAGUAAUCUGAGCUGUGACAUCUGGAUGGGGACAACUUCAGCUGAUUAAAGGAUGGCUUUGUCAGGCUUG